rnacentral:rRNA from 1 species
UUUGAUCCUGGCUCAGAACGAACGCUGGCGGCAUGCCUNAUACAUGCAAGUCGAACGAAGGCUUCGGCCUUAGUGGCGCACGGGUGCGUAACGCGUGGGAAUCUGCCCUUGGGUUCGGAAUAACGUCUGGAAACGGACGCUAAUACCGGAUGAUGACGUAAGUCCAAAGAUUUAUCGCCCAGGGAUGAGCCCGCGUAGGAUUAGCUAGUUGGUGAGGUAAAGGCUCACCAAGGCGACGAUCCUUAGCUGGUCUGAGAGGAUGAUCAGCCACACUGGGACUGAGACACGGCCCAGACUCCUACGGGAGGCAGCAGUAGGGAAUAUUGGACAAUGGGCGAAAGCCUGAUCCAGCAAUGCCGCGUGAGUGAUGAAGGCCUUAGGGUUGUAAAGCUCUUUUACCCGGGAUGAUAAUGACAGUACCGGGAGAAUAAG